rnacentral:rRNA from 1 species
GCAAAUCUCUUAAAGCCGUUCUCAGUUCGGAUUGUAGGCUGCAACUCGCCUACAUGAAGUCGGAAUCGCUAGUAAUCGCGGAUCAGCAUGCCGCGGUGAAUACGUUCCCGGGCCUUGUACACACCGCCCGUCACACCAUGAGAGUUUGUAACACCCAAAGCCGGUGGGGUAACCUUUUGGAGCCAGCCGUCUAAGGUGGGACAGAUGAUUGGGGUGAAGUCGUAACAAGGUACC